CCUUAGCGGGCUCUGGAAUAUUAACAACGUCCAAAUAUCCACCUCUUUGACCACAUUCACCAAAUUGACCUUUGCUAACAGAAUUUACGGAAAUAAGCGAAACUUGGUCCCAAUGAUUGUCGGGUUCCUUUUCUCUUAAUUCACCAAGUUUUCUCCUAAAAGAAUGAAACUUGUUUUGGUAAAUAUUGUUUUGAUAGACUUCGUCGGCAAGCAAUACUAUGCCCUUUGCCUUAGCAAAGCGCAAAACUUUUUCCAUGCUAUUUUCAGAAAUGCAAGCUCCAGUAGGAUUACCGGGAUUAAUAACCACGCAUAAACGAACGUUGAUACCUUUUUUAGAUGCUUCAUCAAAUGAUUUUUUAAAUUGGUCAAAAUCAAUGUCCCAAUUAUUUUCCUCGGAGAGGCUGUAAGAUACCAUAGAUCCACUCAUGAGAUCAAUUUGGGCACCGUACAAAGGAUAUUGAGGAGCGGGAACCAUUACACCAUCUGUUGGCCUAGCGAUUAUCAAAGUCAUUAUAAGCCGGGCAGCGUGUGAGGCACCACUAGUCAAAUAUAUGUCAGAUGGCUCGCAAUCAAAUCCAUCUCUCGCUAAAAUAUAAUUAGAAAAUGUGUAAAGAUAAAAAGAAAAAAGAAUGAAUGGCGGAGUCUAAAAUCAUUUUUUAUCGAGCAAGACCCUAGCAGCUUUAAUGGGUUGCAGUAUUUUUGCUAAAUUUCUUAAUACAGUCUGCGAAUUGUCUCUGUGUCCGACGAUCUUCACUCUUUCUUCUUAAAAUGCUUACCUCUAAUGAAAUCCGCAACAUGUCGCCUUACAAGCGGAAUACCUUGAGAAGCACUAUAGGCACCCAAACUUCCAGAUUCCUUUAAGAGCAUUUUGGAUCGUUGUACGACAUCCGUAGGGAACAAAUUUUGAAACCACUUUUCCUCAGCAUGGUCUAACAAGGUAGGGUACUGGCAAAGAGAUAAAACCUGUCGAACGAAUGUAAUAGGAGACUGUCCCAUCUGCUGAGGAUUACCGAUGUUUGCAUAGACGAUCUCACUGAAAGGAUAUGAAGAAGGAUUUUCAAGUAAAUCAUCUUGGAUCUCGUCCGCAAGAAUGGCUAAAGCUCCACGGACGGCGUAAUUUGCCUUAAAUACUUGUUGAUUCAAAGAAUUAAGGUCUGAGAACGCAUUUUGACAAAAUCCAUCAAGGUCCGACAUUCUUGGAGACUCACAGUUAAUAUCAUUUGGAUAAUCUGUAAACAUAAAUAUAAAGU